GAUGCGACCUCAGCUCAGGCGGGGCCACCCGCUGAGUUUAAGCAUAUCAAUAAGCGAGAAAANAAAUAACNANGGAUUNCCCUA
rnacentral:rRNA from 1 species